rnacentral:rRNA from 1 species
CCUACGGGUUGCACCAGUGAGGAAUUUUGCGCAAUGGGCGAAAGCCUGACGCAGCAACGCCGCGUGGGUGAUGAAGGCCUUUGGGUCGUAAAGCCCUGUCAAGUGGGAAGAAUCCGCAUGAUGUGAACAAUAUCGUGCGUUGACGGUACCACUGAAGGAAGCACCGGCUAACUCCGUGCCAGCAGCCGCGGUAAUACGGGGGGUGCAAGCGUUAUUCGGAAUUAUUGGGCGUAAAGGGCGCGUAGGCGGCCGUUUAAGUCAGAUGUGAAAGCCCGGGGCUCAACCUCGGAAGUGCAUUUGA